rnacentral:misc_RNA from 1 species
AAUCUAACCACUUAUAUUUAUCCUUUCAUGUUUUAUACUUUUCUGAUGUGGGAUUUAUAAUCCCAACAAUGAUGAUUCUUUUCACUUGGCCAAUAAAAUUAUAAGUGAAGCUCAAGUUAAAGGCUUUAGUUUGCUUCAUAGAUCCCCAAAAGGUGCACAUUAAUGAUGAAAUGCAGAAAAGAAUAACUAGUUAGGCUUCCUCUCCAUAUUAGUGUGUUAUUUGUUGUAUGCAUAGCAAGCCUUGUUCUCACAUGCUCAGAUUAUGAUAUGGCUUGUGCAAUUUGGAAUCAUCUUUAGCAAGUUUGUGCCUUUGUGGAGCAUUGAGAAUGUCUAUAUCUUUGGAGACUUCGAUAGUUCUGUUGGUUUAAAAUAGGGAAGAUUUGGCGAUAGGAAAGAUGCCUAAGUUGUGCUUUUUGGAUGGGAAGGAGUAUGCACAUUUUCAAAAAUCAAAGUGUAUGAGCUUAUGCUUGAGGAGCUUUUCAAGAGGGCAUCAUUAAGUGUUAUUCAACUUGAUUUAAGGGCAUCAAUUUUUUAGCCUAGUCUUUAGUGUUUUUGUAUGUGUCUUUGCAUGCUUCUACAGGAGAAUACCUUAUCCUCCACAUUAUAAUCUUCUUCCUUUCUUUCUCAAUAAAUUCUUUUUCCCAUCAAAAGAGAUAAAGAAAACGAAAUCACUCAAAGCUCAAAUUUUUGUCCCUAGCUUCUCUUUCAUUCUUUUUCUCCCCCUCACCCCCGGGGGGUAAGAACUGGAUGAAAAAAGGAAAAAAUAA